rnacentral:siRNA from 1 species
GGAGAUACGGUUCACAAAAUCGGC